AUGAAACACAGACUUACUCACAAUCAUUUAAUUAUACUUUGACGACCGGUUUCGAUCUCUACAAUAUACAGAUCAUCUUCAGGUCGGCGUUACAAGUAGUUAAAUGCUACAAUAAGAGAAAACUUGUGUUAGACCAGUGUCUGAUUGAAGAGAUGUUAAUAGAAAGCCAAAUUUAAAAAAAUUUUUAUAAAAUUUUUUUAACAUAAAGGUUUGCAACUGUUGACAUUUCAGAAUAUUGGUAUAUACAAAGUCAAACCUAUGAGUAAAAAUGCUCAUAGUCAUGUAUGUGCAAAUGGGUGCAUACAGUUUGAAUUUGUUGAAAUUAAAAUUUUUAACCAUUAAAAAACAAAAUAAACAUAAACUGACUUAAAUAUGCUUCCAAAUUCAAAGUAGUAAUAAUAAAAGAGAUAGUAAUAUUGUUCUAAUCUACUUACAUGCCGUUACAAGGAUUGCGUUGCAACUUAGUUGUUGUCAUAUUAGUACGUCCAAAUUAUGCUAAUUGGUUUGUUGGGAUAGUGAUAGGGUAAACAGACAUGUUACGUAGGUUAAAACACAGUAAGAUUUCGAAUUUGGAAUGGAUCCUGAAGGAAGAUGCGUAUGUGAAACGGGUGAUGUUUUGUUAGAAUGGAGAAAGACAAUGCUCCAGGAGUUGCGUAUUAAUUGUAGCAAAGUAUGAAAUGUUAUUCUAGGCUCUUGUACAAAUGUGAUGGUCUUAGCUCGUAGAUGUUAUACGAUGCGGGCAGAGGUCAAAGCAUAGGAAAUGACAAAUAGGAAAAUGUUGUCAUAAAUUAAUCUAAUUUAAGAUAUGUUGUUCUCAGUAAGUUAACUGAGGGAUGUCAUAAGUAUAAUAAUAUCAUAAUAUUAUGAAGUAGUAAGUGCCAUACACUGUGAAACUAUGAAGUGUAUAGAAAUUAAAGGAAAGCUAGUUAGUUUAAUGAAAAAAUAUUAAUAUCAAAACAUCGGUUAGGAACUUUAAAUUGAAAAAUUGAAAAAGGUAAGAAAUUGAUAAAAUUAAAGAUUAUUUUGUUUGAGCUAUUGUAUAAUGGGAUAUGUACAAAGAAAAAGAAAGAAACGAAAUAUUAAUGGAAGGGUGUAGGCACUUACUUGAGAAUAGUUUUUAACUAAAUAAAUAAAUUAACACAUAACACAUAGGGUUUAAAAGCACAAAGACAUAACAAUUAUUGGUAAAAGGUUUUUUUAAGGGAGGUAGCACUACAUUUCCCCAAUUACUAUUUAACUUAGUUUUUACUUCCUAAAUUGAAGUCUAGUUUUUGUGUUUUCAAGAGGGAAUAUUGACAGUGUAGGCAGAUGUAGGUUAUCUGAAAUGUCAAAACACUUCUUCUCAAAUGUUGUACAGUAGUUGCCUAUUUUAAUUAAAUCUCUUAGUAACAUAAAGUAUACAGCAUUUUCAAAUUUUACAAAAAAGAUAGUUGUUAAUUUAUAGCAUUAAUAACAAAAUCUAAACUAUAUGUGUAACCACUAUUGUGAAAAAACUGUUGUAACAAUAAUAAAAAUACAUGAUUAAUUAUUCUACAUUAGUAUUCAAGUAGAGAAGAAUUAAAGUAGAGAAGAAGUGUUGAGUUAAGUUUAAGUAGGCAGUGCAUAAUCUAACGUACAAGCAUAUCACCUGUUGCAUAAUUGUAGAUGAGUAAGAUAAAUUGAUUAGCCUAGUCUAUUUAAAUUUAGUAAAUGAAAACAGAUAUAAAACUUGAAAGUUAUAACGAAGAAAAAGAAAAGAAAGUUGGUUGGUAGUAUUGUUAAUAUUGUAGUCGUGGCAAUGCCACGUCAACGAGGUCAAAGGAAGCGGAAUGUUUAAUGACAGGUGUGUGGAGGGAGGUAGGGGGGGUGUUAAUUUAAAAGAGAACCUAAAGUUUGUUUAAAUCCUAUUUGUAUUUAAGUAUUGGUGCCAACCAACUUCCUCAUGCGCCAUAAAUGGUAAGUUAUAAAUUUAAAGUAUUUAAUAGAUUAAAAGGUUUUGAUAACUUGUACAAAAUAAUCAUGCACUUCCAUAGCGGAACCUAUUAAAUUUAUAAAGCUAUAAUAUAAAAUGUGUAGUCUUAGUGAAUUCAAAAUAAUUUAGGGUGACAUUUUUAAAUUGAGAAACACGUGUUUAAUGUUUAAGAAUAUUGCACUGAUCAAACUCCGUAUUAAAUGUUCAAACGGUCAGGCACCUAUGGGAUAUUAACAGAAUGAGCUCAAAUGCCAUACCAGCAAAUUUUCUGACAUUUUAAAAAAGUUGUAGGUUACCAUUUUUAUAUCACCACGUGGAAAAGUGCAGAUGGUAAUUGAUUGUCCAGUAAUGAAGCUAAGAUGGGAAAAUUGGCUGUGUACUGAGCUACAAAAUCAUCAAAUUCAACAGGAAACGAACAAUGGAAAAUGGAUUUGAAUAAAAUUAAAAUUAGCGGGAUUUUGGAAAUUAAGAGUUAUUCAGGACGUGGCCCUUUUUGCAGAUGUGAAGAAUUUUGAAAUCAAUGUCCGGAUUGAAAUUAUGGUUGGAGUUAUUUACUAAAUUUACAAUUUACUAAAUUUAAAUAGACUAGGCUAAUCAAUUUAUCUUACUCAUCUACAAUUAUGCAACAGGUGAUAUGCUUGUACGUUAGAUUAUGCACUGCCUACUUAAACUUAACUCAACACUUCUUCUCUACUUUAAUUCUUCUCUACUUGAAUACUAAUGUAGAAUAAUUAAUCAUGUAUUUUUAUUAUUGUUACAACAGUUUUUUCACAAUAGUGGUUACACAUAUAGUUUAGAUUUUGUUAUUAAUGCUAUAAAUUAACAACUAUCUUUUUUGUAAAAUUUGAAAAUGCUGUAUACUUUAUGUUACUAAGAGAUUUAAUUAAAAUAGGCAACUACUGUACAACAUUUGAGAAGAAGUGUUUUGACAUUUCAGAUAACCUACAUCUGCCUACACUGUCAAUAUUCCCUCUUGAAAACACAAAAACUAGACUUCAAUUUAGGAAGUAAAAACUAAGUUAAAUAGUAAUUGGGGAAAUGUAGUGCUACCUCCCUUAAAAAAACCUUUUACCAAUAAUUGUUAUGUCUUUGUGCUUUUAAACCCUAUGUGUUAUGUGUUAAUUUAUUUAUUUAGUUAAAAACUAUUCUCAAGUAAGUGCCUACACCCUUCCAUUAAUAUUUCGUUUCUUUCUUUUUCUUUGUACAUAUCCCAUUAUACAAUAGCUCAAACAAAAUAAUCUUUAAUUUUAUCAAUUUCUUACCUUUUUCAAUUUUUCAAUUUAAAGUUCCUAACCGAUGUUUUGAUAUUAAUAUUUUUUCAUUAAACUAACUAGCUUUCCUUUAAUUUCUAUACACUUCAUAGUUUCACAGUGUAUGGCACUUACUACUUCAUAAUAUUAUGAUAUUAUUAUACUUAUGACAUCCCUCAGUUAACUUACUGAGAACAACAUAUCUUAAAUUAGAUUAAUUUAUGACAACAUUUUCCUAUUUGUCAUUUCCUAUGCUUUGACCUCUGCCCGCAUCGUAUAACAUCUACGAGCUAAGACCAUCACAUUUGUACAAGAGCCUAGAAUAACAUUUCAUACUUUGCUACAAUUAAUACGCAACUCCUGGAGCAUUGUCUUUCUCCAUUCUAACAAAACAUCACCCGUUUCACAUACGCAUCUUCCUUCAGGAUCCAUUCCAAAUUCGAAAUCUUACUGUGUUUUAACCUACGUAACAUGUCUGUUUACCCUAUCACUAUCCCAACAAACCAAUUAGCAUAAUUUGGACGUACUAAUAUGACAACAACUAAGUUGCAACGCAAUCCUUGUAACGGCAUGUAAGUAGAUUAGAACAAUAUUACUAUCUCUUUUAUUAUUACUACUUUGAAUUUGGAAGCAUAUUUAAGUCAGUUUAUGUUUAUUUUGUUUUUUAAUGGUUAAAAAUUUUAAUUUCAACAAAUUCAAACUGUAUGCACCCAUUUGCACAUACAUGACUAUGAGCAUUUUUACUCAUAGGUUUGACUUUGUAUAUACCAAUAUUCUGAAAUGUCAACAGUUGCAAACCUUUAUGUUAAAAAAAUUUUAUAAAAAUUUUUUUAAAUUUGGCUUUCUAUUAACAUCUCUUCAAUCAGACACUGGUCUAACACAAGUUUUCUCUUAUUGUAGCAUUUAACUACUUGUAACGCCGACCUGAAGAUGAUCUGUAUAUUGUAGAGAUCGAAACCGGUCGUCAAAGUAUAAUUAAAUGAUUGUGAGUAA